CAGUGUUUGAAAAAAGCAGUACUACUCGUCCUCCAGUAACUCCCAGCACAUCUGAUGAUGAUGACGCUGCGGAAGCAGGUCCAUCAAAAGAAGUCUGGAGCAGCAGAAGUGGGACUUCUGUAAGACAUCACCACAAAAAACCUGUGGCAGCAAAGAAAGCAAGGUCUGAUGUCCAGGGCCAACCACAGCAGGCUACCCCGCCAUGAAGAUUAUCGACAGUAUGUUCGGUCCCCCCACUCCAAAUUUUGGACACACCUCCAAGACGUCAUCCACACUCCCCUCAUCUUGAUUCUUCUAGUCCUGGUAACAGCAUCCCUCCGCAACAACAGCAACACAGUGACAUGGAGGAGACAAUCA